GGCGUGAUGACGAGGCACUACGGUGCUGAAGUGACAAAUGCCCUGCUUCCAGGAAAAGCCUCUAAGCAUCAGGUAACAUCAAAUCGUACCCCAAACCGACACAGGUGGUCAGGUAGAGAAUACCAAGGCGCUUGAGAGAACUCGGGUGAAGGAACUAGGCAAAAUGGUGCCGUAACUUCGGGAGAAGGCACGCUGACAUGUAGGUGAAGCCCCUGCGGGUGGAGCUGAAGUCAGUCGAAGAUACCAGCUGGCUGCAACUGUUUAUUAAAAACACAGCACUGUGCAAACACGAAAGUGGACGUAUACGGUGUGACGC
rnacentral:rRNA from 1 species